CAGUGAUAAACUGGAGGAAGGUGGGGAUGACGUCAAGUCAUCAUGGCCCUUACGACCAGGGCUACACACGUGCUACAAUGGCGCAUACAAAGAGAAGCGACCUCGCGAGAGCAAGCGGACCUCAUAAAGUGCGUCGUAGUCCGGAUUGGAGUCUGCAACUCGACUCCAUGAAGUCGGAAUCGCUAGUAAUCGUGGAUCAGAAUGCCACGGUGAAUACGUUCCCGGGCCUUGUACACACCGCCCGUCACACCAUGGGAGUGGGUUGCAAAAGAAGUAGGUAGCUUAACCUUCGGGAGGGCGCUUACCACUUUGUGAUUCAUGACUGGGGUGAAGUCGUAACAAGGUAACCGUAGGGGAACCUGCGGUUGGAUCACCUCCUUACCUGAAAGA
rnacentral:rRNA from 2 species